UUAGGAAUAUUGCGCAAUGGACGAAAGUCUGACGCAGCGACACCGCGUGGAGGAUGAAGAUCUUCGGAUUGUAAACUCCUUUUGACCCCUCAUGAAGGGGGGUAGAAUAAGCAGCUACUAACUACGUGCCAGCAGUCGCGGUAAUACGUAGGCUGCAAGCGUUACCCGGAAUUACUGGGCGUAAAGCGUCUGUAGGUGGUGUGACAAGUCCUGUUUUAAAGACCCCGGCUCAACUGGGGAAAGGGGCAGGAUACUAUCACGCUGGAGUUAUUGAGAGGUUACUGGAAUUUGUGGUGUAGGGGUAAAAUCCGUGGAUACCACAAAGAACACCAAUGGCGAAGGCAGGUAACCAGCAAUAUACUGACACUGAGAGACUAAAGCUAGGGUAGCAAAUCAGAUU
rnacentral:rRNA from 1 species